rnacentral:rRNA from 1 species
UACAUGGGGUGCAAACGUUGCUCGGAAUUAUUGGGCGUAAAGCGCACGUAGGCGGCUUAGCAAGUCGGAAGUGAAAUCCCACGGCUCAACCAUGGAAGUGCUUUCGAAACUGCUGAGCUUGAGUACGAAAGAGGAUCGCGGAAUUCCCGGUGUAGAGGUGAAAUUCGUAGAUAUCGGGAGGAACACCAGUGGCGAAGGCGGCGAUCUGGGUCGAUACUGACGCUGAGGUGCGAAAGCGUGGGAGCAAACAGG